AACAUGUAAAACAUUCCACUCAAAAUCUUUUUGGGUCAAACCAGGGAAAACAUGAAGAGCGUGAGAUGAACACUUGAGUGUUCUUCUCUUCCAUUUUCCAGGAUCCUAAAUUUAUGCUCAAACCAAAAAAACAUAAAUAAUAAAUCCCAUAUAAAUCAUCUCAUGGUCACGGUUAUGUCAUCCAAACAACCAAACAACUCACGCAUGGAACAUAUCGACCUUCCCCCCAAGCAGAAAACCUUAACCCUUUUUCUUUAAUUUUCAUCGAAUUACAACAAUGGUACAAUAAUUGGAAGGCAAAAAAUGAAACAAACAUACAAGAAAUAUAAAGCAAGAAUGAAAGAAGUAGAGAAAAUGACAAAAAAAGAAACCUCGUUGGGAUCUGGAUUUACCAGACCUUCGACGAGCACUUCGGUGAGGCCAGAUUUACCUUUUGGUAAGUUUCCAUUCUUUUUCUCCUUCUCUUUUGCACUUCUGCUUCUACCCCGUCUCCUUCUUUUUAUUUUCUUCUGGCGUGGUAGGAUGCAGGUGAAUUAGAGGUCAAGCUUGAGUUUCUGCAGAGGUUUGGAAGGUAAUUGAAGGUGUGGGAGUUUUAUGCCAAGUUCUCUUAGGGAUUUUUUCAUGUCUAUUUAAGAGCGAAUGAAAAUAUGAUUUUAUAGGAAUAUUUGGGACUCGUGUGAGGUGAUUUUGGGAGGGAAUAAUGGAUGGGCAUGAGUGUGUGAGCGAAGAGUGAGUAAAGUGUGAAGGCAGUAUGAACUUCGUGACUUUAGGAUGAGCAAGAGUGAGAGUCUUUGAUGUAUGUAUGUCGCAAGGACAUGGAUGUAUGGAGGUGAAGGAAGAUGGUGCAUAUUUUAUGUAAUGCUACUUGUAAUUCACAUGUACUAUAACAUUGUAUUUACAUUUUUAAUUUAAUAAAAUCGAAUUUUCUUAAAUUGAAUUUCAUUUUUUCCAUUUUACUUUUUAAUUCACCUUAAUUUUCAUGGUUGUGAUUAAUGGCAUGUAUGUGAUGGAGUUGUUGUAAUUCGUGUGACUUUACUCUAAUAAAAAAAUAUUUUGUAAAGUUUUUUCAAUUCAUUUUUUGUGUCUUUUGCUGGUAGUAGUGUAAUGUGUAUGCGGUGAUGAUGCCAUGGCCAUGUAAUGGGAUGCAAUGUGUAAUGUAUGAAUGUUGCACCUCCUAUUAUUUUGAUGCUUAUUUCUAAUUCAAUUUUGCUUAUGGUGAAUGUAUAGGAUGAGAAUGUUUAUGGAGUAACAAUGAUGUUGAUGAUGUUGUGGGUGUGUGACAUAGAAGAUGAUAGAAUGUGUAAGGUUGG
rnacentral:lncRNA from 1 species